UAAUAACAGGUCUGAUUGCUUCAUUAAC
rnacentral:piRNA from 1 species